GGGUUGUGAGGUUAAGCGACUAAGCGUACACGGUGGAUGCCCUGGCAGUCAGAGGCGAUGAAGGGCGUGCUAAUCUGCGAUAAGCGCCGGUAAGGUGAUAUGAACCGUUAUAACCGGCGAUACCCGAAUGGGGAAACCCAGUGUGACUCGUCACACUAUCAUUAACUGAAUCCAUAGGUUAAUGAGGCGAACCGGGGGAACUGAAACAUCUAAGUACCCCGAGGAAAAGAAAUCAACCGAGAUUCCCCCAGUAGCGGCGAGCGAACGGGGAGGAGCCCAGAGCCUGAAUCAGCAUGUGUGUUAGUGGAAGCGUCUGGAAAGGCGCGCGAUACAGGGUGACAGCCCCGUACACAAAAGCGCAUGUGCUGUGAGCUCGAUGAGUAGGGCGGGACACGUGGUAUCCUGUCUGAAUAUGGGGGGACCAUCCUCCAAGGCUAAAUACUCCUGACUGACCGAUAGUGAACCAGUACCGUGAGGGAAAGGCGAAAAGAACCCCGGCGAGGGGAGUGAAAAGAACCUGAAACCGUGUACGUACAAGCAGUGGGAGCCCCACCACUAAGCCAGUGGUGAACUCCACAUACGCAUCCUUUGCUGAGGAUACGGUUAACGGAGCGAAAGCGACGUUCAACCUCAAAAGAAGCAGAGGGGGCUUAGUGGUGGGGUGACUGCGUACCUUUUGUAUAAUGGGUCAGCGACUUAUAUUCUGUAGCAAGGUUAACCGAAUAGGGGAGCCGGAGGGAAACCGAGUCUUAAUUGGGCGUUAAGUUGCAGGGUAUAGACCCGAAACCCGGUGAUCUAGCCAUGGGCAGGUUGAAGGUUGGGUAACACUAACUGGAGGACCGAACCGACUAAUGUUGAAAAAUUAGCGGAUGACCUGUGGCUGGGGGUGAAAGGCCAAUCAAACCGGGAGAUAGCUGGUUCUCCCCGAAAGCUAUUUAGGUAGCGCCUCGUGAACUCAUCUCCGGGGGUAGAGCACUGUUUCGGCUAGGGGGCCAUCCCGGCUUACCAACCCGAUGCAAACUGCGAAUACCGGAGAAUGUUAUCACGGGAGACACACGGCGGGUGCUAACGUCCGUCGUGAAGAGGGAAACAACCCAGACCGCCAGCUAAGGUCCCAAAGUCAUGGUUAAGUGGGAAACGAUGUGGGAAGGCCCAGACAGCCAGGAUGUUGGCUUAGAAGCAGCCAUCAUUUAAAGAAAGCGUAAUAGCUCACUGGUCGAGUCGGCCUGCGCGGAAGAUGUAACGGGGCUAAACCAUGCACCGAAGCUGCGGCAGCGACGCUGAUGCGUUGUUGGGUAGGGGAGCGUUCUGUAAGCCUGCGAAGGUGGCCUGUGAGGGUUGCUGGAGGUAUCAGAAGUGCGAAUGCUGACAUAAGUAACGAUAAAGCGGGUGAAAAGCCCGCUCGCCGGAAGACCAAGGGUUCCUGUCCAACGUUAAUCGGGGCAGGGUGAGUCGACCCCUAAGGCGAGGCCGAAAGGCGUAGUCGAUGGGAAACGGGUUAAUAUUCCCGUACUUGGUGUUACUGCGAAGGGGGGACGGAGAAGGCUAUGUUGGCCGGGCGACGGUUGUCCCGGUUUAAGCGUGUAGGCUGGUUUUCCAGGCAAAUCCGGAAAAUCAAGGCUGAGGCGUGAUGACGAGGCACUACGGUGCUGAAGCAACAAAUGCCCUGCUUCCAGGAAAAGCCUCUAAGCAUCAGGUAACAUCAAAUCGUACCCCAAACCGACACAGGUGGUCAGGUAGAGAAUACCAAGGCGCUUGAGAGAACUCGGGUGAAGGAACUAGGCAAAAUGGUGCCGUAACUUCGGGAGAAGGCACGCUGACACGUAGGUGAAGUGAUUUACUCACGGAGCUGAAGUCAGUCGAAGAUACCAGCUGGCUGCAACUGUUUAUUAAAAACACAGCACUGUGCAAACACGAAAGUGGACGUAUACGGUGUGACGCCUGCCCGGUGCCGGAAGGUUAAUUGAUGGGGUCAGCGCAAGCGAAGCUCCUGAUCGAAGCCCCGGUAAACGGCGGCCGUAACUAUAACGGUCCUAAGGUAGCGAAAUUCCUUGUCGGGUAAGUUCCGACCUGCACGAAUGGCGUAAUGAUGGCCAGGCUGUCUCCACCCGAGACUCAGUGAAAUUGAACUCGCUGUGAAGAUGCAGUGUACCCGCGGCAAGACGGAAAGACCCCGUGAACCUUUACUAUAGCUUGACACUGAACAUUGAGCCUUGAUGUGUAGGAUAGGUGGGAGGCUUUGAAGUGUGGACGCCAGUCUGCAUGGAGCCGACCUUGAAAUACCACCCUUUAAUGUUUGAUGUUCUAACGUGGACCCGUUACCCGGGUUGCGGACAGUGUCUGGUGGGUAGUUUGACUGGGGCGGUCUCCUCCUAAAGAGUAACGGAGGAGCACGAAGGUUGGCUAAUCCUGGUCGGACAUCAGGAGGUUAGUGCAAUGGCAUAAGCCAGCUUGACUGCGAGCGUGACGGCGCGAGCAGGUGCGAAAGCAGGUCAUAGUGAUCCGGUGGUUCUGAAUGGAAGGGCCAUCGCUCAACGGAUAAAAGGUACUCCGGGGAUAACAGGCUGAUACCGCCCAAGAGUUCAUAUCGACGGCGGUGUUUGGCACCUCGAUGUCGGCUCAUCACAUCCUGGGGCUGAAGUAGGUCCCAAGGGUAUGGCUGUUCGCCAUUUAAAGUGGUACGCGAGCUGGGUUUAGAACGUCGUGAGACAGUUCGGUCCCUAUCUGCCGUGGGCGCUGGAGAACUGAGGGGGGCUGCUCCUAGUACGAGAGGACCGGAGUGGACGCAUCACUGGUGUUCGGGUUGUCAUGCCAAUGGCACUGCCCGGUAGCUAAAUGCGGAAGAGAUAAGUGCUGAAAGCAUCUAAGCACGAAACUUGCCCCGAGAUGAGUUCUCCCUGAGACUUUAGGUCUCCUGAAGGAACGUUGAAGACGACGACGUUGAUAGGCCGGGUGUGUAAGCGCAGCGAUGCGUUGAGCUAACCGGUACUAAUGAACCGUGAGGCUUAACCUUACAACGCCGAAG
rnacentral:rRNA from 1 species